rnacentral:rRNA from 1 species
GGCUUACCAAGGCGACGAUCAGUAGCCGACCUGAGAGGGUGAUCGGCCACAUUGGAACUGAGACACGGUCCAAACUCCUACGGGAGGCAGCAGUGGGGAAUAUUGCACAAUGGGCGAAAUCCUGAUGCAGCAACGCCGCGUGAGUGAUGAAGGCCUUCGGGUCGUAAAACUCUGUCCUCAAGGUAGAUAAUGACGGUACUUGAGGAGGAAGCCCC